CAUGUCUGUUUCUCUUUCUCUCUCCCUCUCUUGCGCUCUCCCUCAUUCAUUCACUCUUCCAUCUUUUUGCCAUUGUGCCAGCUUAAUUUAAAUGUAUCUGCUCUGUAUCUGUUCAAGUGGAGAUAAUCCAUGCAAAUCAGGAGCAGUGGCUUUCAAUGCUUGGUUCACAGAGAGGACUCAGCUUGAGGAGGUCACUCGUUCAUAGCCGCUCCUCCCAUUAUAUUUUUCCCCCUAUUGCAGAACUGCUGUAUGUAUACAGUGACUGAAAGGACUCAAUUUACUGCAACUGCUGCCUGGCUUUACUUACAACUUUUUAUAUAUAUAUAUAAAGGAACUUACCUCGUCUGUCUUUUCAAGAUGACCCACUGGAACUAGAAUUCAGGUAGCGGUACACUGAAGCAAGCCUAACGGGACAUUCUCCUUCUCCUUGGGACAUUCCAUCAAAAAAAGGUAUUAAAAGUUAACCAGGGAAGUGGAUUUGGCCCAACUGAUAGAGCAUCCGCCUACCGUAUAGGAGGUC
rnacentral:lncRNA from 1 species